rnacentral:lncRNA from 1 species
GAUUUUUGUAGAUUUAUAUCCUGUUCUUUUCUUUUUUCUCCUUCUCUUUCUUCUCUUUCUUCUCUUCCUCCCCCAUUCCCCCGAGUCUCCCACUGUCUUUCUCUCCGUAAGUUUCUUCUCUUUUCAUUAUUUUUCUCAGAAACCAAACAUAGCUUUCUUUUAUGUUCUUCUCUCUCGUUCUCUCUCACACUACGCAGUGGUUCUGUAUGUGAUUUUUCUUUUUCUUUUUAGUUUUCAUUUUUUAAAAUAUUUUUUAAAAUUCUUAACAUGUGAAACGGGCCGUGUCGUGUGAUUCACUAAUUGUAACGGGUCGUGUUCGUGUUUGACAGUUUCCACUCGUUUUCUUAUCGUGUCGUGUCAACCCAUCAAGAAAAGUAGGUUGACACGAACACGACACGAACACUGCAAACAUGAUACGAAUGCCAGGUCUAUUUAUGGGUGCAUGCAUUAAGCCAAUCCGAGCCAGUUAUGGGGCCAAGCAAACGGAGCUUAUGGCUACAAUUGAAGGAUUGCGUUUUGCUCUUGACAUGGACGUAUUUGACUUGUGCUAUUCUAGAGAUGGACGCAAAAGAAUGCAUAACUGGUAUUCUUACGACGGAGUAAUGCAAUGGAACAUAUAGUCUUUUACUUGAAGAAGCAAAAUGCAUAUUAAUUGAAGAGUAGCUUUAUGUCAAUAGUCCCUAAGGAGCUGCAAUAAGGUGGCACAGAUCUUGGCUCAAUUUGCAAUCAGCUUUAAUGAUUUUGUUUCUUGGAUUGAGGAAGCACACCUACAUGGUUGCUCUCAUUUCUUUCUGCAGAUGUACUCUAUUCUCGAG